GGCAGAGGGAGUGACAGCAGGGGUUCGGGCUGCUGUGGAGCCAGAAGCAGGGGGAAAGGGGAUGUCGGGCAGGGGUCUUUAGUGGAUGACUGGCUUUGAGAGCUUCUGGGUCGUCAUGUUUAGAAGGGGUGGAGUCCAGGUGAAGAGGGUGAGAACCACACCCUAGGGGAACAGGAGCUCCCCAGGGAGGUCCCACACCCUGAAGCCCCACCUACGCCUCGCCCCUGCACAGCCCCGCACUCUGCCAGCAGGGAGCGCACGCCCAGGUGCAAGGAGCUGGCACCUGGGCACACGCCUGGCCACACACCUGUGCAGAGCCGGUGGCAGGCCCUCCCGGCACAGGAAUGGCGCGCCCCCAGCUGCCGCCACUUCUGCUUUUGGUGCUGGUGCUGCCACUAAAAGCUAAUAAGAAUGACUCUAACAGUACUCCCUACACAGGUAUUACGACCUCAGAGUACAACAGUAUGGAGACAUCAUCUCUCAGCUCUCUGAUUUAUUCUCCCUUCACCCACAACACCCUCAGUUCAGGGGAACCCCCCAAAACCUACUCCAGCCCCCUGAGUUUGGAGACAGGCUCCAUGACCCACCUCAGCCCCUCAAGUUCAGGGGCAACCCCUACCAUGCAGCCUAGCCCCAGCUCCACAGAGUCAAGAAUGAUUCCCUCGUCCCCACAACCAGAGACAACCACGCACCCUAGUUCUGGUUCCCCCAAUGGAGAGCUCACCCCCUCUUCCCAUUCCACCCUCCCCAGUUCCGAAUCCCUGACCCCGCACUGGAGCCCCACUUCCCACAGCCCCGGAACGGAGCCCUUGACCUCCACUGACCAGACCUUGGAGCCCCCUGGCCCAGCUCCAGGUGACACUGGGUCCCCUGAGUUACACAGGAACCCGGCUGUGGUGGUGGUCGUGUGUUUGCUGGUGUCUCUUUUGCUCAUCGGGUCUGUGGUCAUGGCUGUGAGGUUCUGUCACCGGGAUGAGUCCACAUUUGAGAAACUGGAUGAGGUGUCCAUGGUAAGGGAUCCAUGAAUGACAGAUUGUCCUUUGCCCACCACCUCCAGGAGUGAGCCCUGAGGAGCCAACAGAGAUGCGGGCGUGCAUGGGGCUGGAGUGCCUGGGGAGGAGCAGAACCUGAGGAAAUAAACACCCUACCAUUCAUCCAAGGCCUCCUGAGUUAUGGAUUCGUGUGACAAACAUUAGCUGAGCACCUACUAUGUGCUGGGCUCUGUGCUGGAGUCACAGUGGGGACCAUGUCUUUACUCUCAGGGGAGCCACAGACUCAAGGCGGGGACAGAUAAGAAUCAGGAGAUCACUUGGCUGGGCGUGGUGGUUCACACCUGUAUCCCAGCACUUCGGGAGGCUGAGGCGGGCAGAUCUCCUGACCUCAGGAGUUUGAGACCAGCCGGGCUAACAUGGCGAAACUCUGUCUCUACUAAAAAUACAAAAAUUAGCUGAGCAUGGUGGCGGGUGCCUGUAAUCUCAGCUACUCAGGAGGCUGAGGCAGAGAAUCUCUUCAACCCAGGAGGCAGAGGUUGCAGUGAGCCGAGAUCACCCCACUGUACUCCAGCCUGGGCAACAGAGCAAGACUCCAUCUAAAAAAAUAAAAAGAAAAAGAAUCAGGAGAUCACAUGAGAUCUUUGCAGGUGGCACGGAAGGCCAUGGAGUCACAGACUGAGACUGUGGCCAAACCACAAGGGCUGCAGUGGCCAAACCACAAGAGUUGUGGUGUCCAGGUUUGCUGAGAAGGUAGGGAGGCCUCUUUGAGGAUGUAACUUUUUUUUUCUUUGAGAUAGGAUCUUGCUCUGUUGCCCAGGCUGGAGUGCAAUGGUGCACUCUCGGCUCACUGCAGCCUCAACCUCCCAGGCUCAAGUGAUCCUCCUGCCUCAACCUCCUGAGUAGCUGGGACUACAGGGGGAUAGUAUGCCUGGCUAAUUAAAAAAAAAAAAAAAAUUGGGGGCCGGGCAUGGUGGCUUAUGCCUGUAAUCCUAGUACUUUGGAAGGCCAAGGUAGGUGGAUCAUUUGAGGUCAGGAGUUCAAGACCAGCCUGGCCAACAUGGUGAAACCCCAUCUUUACUAAAAAUACAAAAAUUGGCUGGUGUGGUGGUGGGCGCCUGUAAUCCCAGCUACUAGGGAGGAUGAGGCAGGAGAAUUGCUUGAGCCUGGGAGGCAGAGGUUGCGGUGAGCCGAGAUUGCACCACUGCACUCCAGUCGAGGCGACAGAGUGAGACUCUGUCUCAAAACAAACAAACAAAACUUGGGGGCUGGGCAUGGCGGCUUACCACUGUAAUCUCAGUACUUUGAGAAGUUGAGGUGGGCGAAUUGCUUGACCUUGGUAGUUUGAGACCAGAUGGGGCAACGUGGCAG
ensembl:lincRNA